UACGUAGGGGGCAAGCGUUGUCCGGAUUUAUUGGGCGUAAAGAGCGUGUAGGCGGCCAUACAGGUCCGUUGUGAAAACUGGAGGCUUAACCUCCAGACGUCGAUGGAAACCGUAUGGCUAGAGUCCGGAAGAGGAGAGUGGAAUUCCCGGUGUAGCGGUGAAAUGCGCAGAUAUCGGGAAGAACACCCGUGGCGAAGGCGGUUCUCUGGGCCGAUACUGACGCUGAGGAGCGAAAGCGUGGGGAGCGAACAGG
rnacentral:rRNA from 1 species